rnacentral:rRNA from 1 species
AGGAGACUUCCUUAGUACGAGAGGACCGGGAAGUACAGACCUCUGGUUUACCAGUUGUCACGCCAGUGGCAUACGCUGGGUAGCCAUGUCUGGAGAGGAUAAGUGCUGAAAGCAUAUAAGUACGAAGCCCACCUCAAGAUGAGAUAUCUCAUAUCGUAAGGUAGUAAGAUCUGCCAAAGACUAUGGCGUUGAUAGGCUGCAAGUGUAAGUAUGGUGACAUACUCAGCUGAGCAGUACUAAUAGAUCGAGGGCUUGUUUU